rnacentral:rRNA from 1 species
CCUACGGGUGGCAGCAGUGGGGAAUAUUGGGCAAUGGGCGCAAGCCUGACCCAGCAACGCCGCGUGAAGGAAGAAGGCUUUCGGGUUGUAAACUUCUUUUGUCAGGGACGUAGCAAGUGACGGUACCUGACGAAUAAGCCACGGCUAACUACGUGCCAGCAGCAGCGGUAAUACGUAGGUGGCAAGCGUUAUCCGGAUUUACUGGGUGUAAAGGGCGUGUAGGCGGGACUGCAAGUCAGAUGUGAAAACCACGGGCUCAACCCGUGGACUGGAUUUGAAACUGUAGUUCUUGAGUACUGGAGAGGCAGGCGGAAUUUCUGGUGUAGCGGUGAAAUGCGUAGAUAUUAGGCAGAACACCGAUGGCGAAGGCAGUCUGCUGGACAGCAACUGACGCUGAGGCGCGAAAGCGUGGGGAGCAAACAGGAUUAGAUACCCCAGUAGUC